GUGCUGCUGAAGAGUCCCGCGGUAGGACGAAACGACCGUCCAGUAC
rnacentral:hammerhead_ribozyme from 1 species